rnacentral:rRNA from 1 species
UACGGAAGGGCGAGCGUUGUUCGGAAUCAUUGGGCGUAAAGGGCGCGUAGGUGGUUCUGUAUGUCUACCGUGAAAGCGUACGGCUCAACCGUAUUUUGUCGGUAGAAACUGCAGGACUUGAGGCUGGGGAGGGGCUGGUGGAAUUCCCUGUGUAGCGGUGAAAUGCGUAGAGAUGGGGGAGAACACUCGUGGCGAAGGCGGCCAGCUAGACCAGUUCUGACACUGAGGCGCGACAGCGUGGGGAGCAAACAGG